rnacentral:tRNA from 1 species
GUUUCCUUAGUAUUAACUAGUACAGUUGACUUCCAAUCAACCAGUUCUGGUCCACGAUCCAGAAGGAAACA